GGGCGCAUAGCUCAGCGGUAGAGCUCUGGUUUUACACACCAGCGGUCGGGGGUUCGAACCCCUCUGCGCCCACCA
rnacentral:tRNA from 1 species